rnacentral:rRNA from 1 species
AUCAACUUUCGAUGGUAGGAUAGAGGCCUACCAUGGUGGUAACGGGUAACGGGGUGUUAGGGCACGACACCGGAGAGGGAGCCUGAGAAACGGCUACCACAUCCAAGGAUGGCAGCAGGCGCGCAAAUUACCCAAUCCCGACACGGGGAGGUAGUGACAAUAAAUAACAAUACGGGGUUCUUUAGGAUCUCGUAAUUGGAAUGAGUACAAUUUAAAUCUCUUAACGAGGAACAAUUGGAGGGCAAGUCUGGUGCCAGCAGCCGCGGUAAUUCCAGCUCCAAUAGCGUAUAUUAAAGUUGUUGCAGUUAAAAAGCUCGUAGUUGAAUUUCGGGGUCAGUAGGUUGGUCGUGCCACCGGUACGUACUGGUCUCACUGAUUCCUCCUUCCUGAUGAGCUGUAAUGCCAUUAAUUUGGUGUUGCAGGGAAUCUGGACUGUUACUUUGAAAAAAUUAGAGUGUUUAAAGCAGGCUAACGCUUGAAUACAUUAGCAUGGAAUAAUGAAAUAGGACGUUCGAUCCUAUUUUGUUGGUUUCUAGGAUUGACGUAAUGAUUAAUAGGGAUAGUUGGGGGCAUUAGUAUUCAAUUGUCAGAGGUGAAAUUCUUGGAUUUACUGAAGACUAACUACUGCGAAAGCAUUUGCCAAGGAUGUUUUCAUUAAUCAAGAACGAAAGUUAGGGGAUCGAAGACGAUCAGAUACCGUCGUAGUCUUAACCAUAAACUAUGCCGACUAGGGAUCGGAUGAUGUUAAUUUUUUAAUGACUCAUUCGGCACCUUACGGGAAACCAAAGUGUUUGGGUUC